CCCCUUAUAGUAAAACUGGAUAUUACACCUGCCUCCUAAGCGGGAAUUUCAGGUUCGAGUCCUGAUAAGGGGGCCA
rnacentral:tRNA from 3 species